AGAGUUUGAUCCUGGCUCAGAGCGAACGUUGGCGGCGUGCCUAACACAUGCAAGUCUUGGGGGAAAGUACCUUCGGGUAUGAGUACACCGGCGCACGGGUGAGUAACGCGUGGAUAACCUACCCUGUAGAUUGGAAUAACGAGCCGAAAGGCUCGCUAAUGCCGAAUAACAUAUGGUCACUUACGGGUGGUCCAUAUCAAAGCUGGGGACCUUCGGGCCUAGCACUUCAGGACGGGUCCGCGUCCAAUUAGCUAGUAGGUGGGGUAAUGGCCUACCUAGGCGACGAUUGGUAGCUGGUCUGAGAGGAUGAUCAGUCACACUGGCACUGGAACACGGGCCAGACUCCUACGGGAGGCAGCAGUGAGGAAUAUUGCGCAAUGGGCGAAAGCCUGACGCAGCGACGCCGCGUGGAGGAUGAAGGUUCUCGGAUCGUAAACUCUUGUCAGAAGGGAAGAACCGUCGGAUUUCAAAUAGGGAUCCGGCCUGACGGUACCUUCAAAGGAAGCACCGGCUAACUCCGUGCCAGCAGCCGCGGUAAUACGGAGGGUGCAAACGUUGCUCGGAAUCACUGGGCGUAAAGGGUGCGUAGUCGGCCCUGUAAGUCAGAUGUGAAAGCCCUCGGCUCAACCGAGGAAUUGCAUUUGAUACUGCAGGGCUUGAGUUCGGUAGAGGGAAGCGGAAUUCCUGGUGUAGCGGUGAAAUGCGUUGAUAUCAGGAGGAACACCGGUGGCGAAGGCGGCUUCCUGGGCCGACACUGACGCUGAGGCACGAAAGCGUUGGGUAGCAAACGGGAUUAGAUACCCCGGUAGUCCACGCCCUAAACGAUGAGUACUAGAUGUCGGGAUCCUUGAGAUUUCGGUGUCGUAGCUAACGCGUUAAGUACUCCGCCUGGGGACUACGGCCGCAAGGCUAAAACUCAAAGGAAUUGACGGGGGCCCGCACAAGCGGUGGAGCAUGUGGUUUAAUUCGACGCAACGCGAAGAACCUUACCUGGGUUUGACAUGUAAGUGAUUGAACCGAAAGGGAAUUGACCUGGGCUUGCCCAGGAGCUUACACAGGCGCUGCACGGCUGUCGUCAGCUCGUGCCGUGAGGUGUUGGGUUAAGUCCCGCAACGAGCGCAACCCCUGCCACUAGUUGCCAGCAUUAAGUUGGGCACUCUAGUGGGACUGCCGGAGAUAAUCCGGAGGAAGGCGGGGACGACGUCAAGUCAUCAUGGCCCUUAAGCCCAGGGCUACACACGUGCUACAAUGGCCGGUACAGAGGGCUGCGAAACCGCGAGGUGGAGCGAAUCCCAGAAAGCCGGUCUCAGUUCGGAUUGUAGUCUGCAACUCGACUACAUGAAGGCGGAAUCGCUAGUAAUCGCAGAUCAGCAAUGCUGCGGUGAAUACGUUCCCGGGCCUUGUACACACCGCCCGUCACACCACGAGAGUCGACUCUUCCGGAAGUGGCUGGCCCAACCUCGUGAGGGAGGUCACCAAGGAGGGGUUGGUGAUUGGGGUGAAGUCGUAACAAGGUAACC
rnacentral:rRNA from 1 species